CGAGCGGUAACGAGGGGGAGCUUGCUCCCCGCUGACGAGCGGCGGAGGGGUGAGUAAUGCAUAGGAAACUGCCCAGUAGUGGGGGAUAGCCCGGGGAAACCCGGAUUAAUACCGCAUACGCCCUUCGGGGGAAAGCAGGGGAUCUUCGGACCUUGCGCUAUUGGAUGUGCCUAUGUCGGAUUAGCUAGUUGGUGGGGUAAGAGCCUACCAAGGCGACGAUCCGUAGCUGGUCUGAGAGGAUGAUCAGCCACAUCGGGACUGAGACACGGCCCGAACUCCUACGGGAGGCAGCAGUGGGGAAUAUUGGACAAUGGGGGCAACCCUGAUCCAGCCAUGCCGCGUGUGUGAAGAAGGCUUUCGGGUUGUAAAGCACUUUCAGUGAGGAGGAAAACCUUACGACUAAUACUCGUGAGGCUUGACGUUACUCACAGAAGAAGCACCGGCUAACUCCGUGCCAGCAGCCGCGGUAAUACGGAGGGUGCAAGCGUUAAUCGGAAUUACUGGGCGUAAAGCGCGCGUAGGUGGUUUGAUAAGCGAGAUGUGAAAGCCCCGGGCUCAACCUGGGAACGGCAUUUCGAACUGUCAGGCUAGAGUAUGGUAGAGGAGUGUGGAAUUUCCUGUGUA
rnacentral:rRNA from 1 species